rnacentral:lncRNA from 1 species
CAAUAAUAUGAUAAUAUGAGAUGCAUACUUCGUCAGUUGGUAAAGUCAUUAAGGAUCUGCCAAAUUAAUGCAAAGCUGAUAAACUGUGCUGGAGCAGAUAAAGCCCACAGGAUAUGUGGAAAUCUUUUGUUCUUCAAUACCACAAUAUUUUUCAUCAAAGCAAUUCUGCAUUUCUCCUUGAAGCUGUGAACAUUUUCUGGAUAAACGUGAAGGACGUAGUCAUGGCUAAAAGAAUGACCAUUCACUGCUCAUCUUCCUGGUCACCUGUCUUUUCCUGCACAUAUCCUGAGAACUCCUCCUCCUUCACACACCUAUCAGUUUGGCAACUUGCACGAGAAAGCGAGAGUCCAAUUAAAUGGACCUGUAUCCCAUCUUUGCAAAC